CCCACAACAGCACCGCUCGCUGCAGCCAUGGCUCUCCUGCAGGUCUCCUGCUUUCUCGCAGUCGCGAUUGCCGCCGUCUCGGCUGCACUACCGGACUACGUCCCCGUGUGUCCGAGGAAUGACCCUGACAUCAACGCCUGUGUUUCGAAUGCUAUCGAGAAGCUGAGACCCGCACUGAUGAAAGGAAUACCGGAGCUGGAGGUGCCACCAAUCGACCCACUGGAAGUGGCCGAGGUGACGGUCUCUCCGAUUCCUGGGCAGCGCGUUCGCGUCACCGCCAGCAACAUCAAGGUGUACGGCCUCGAGAAGACCAGGAUCAACAGGAUCAACGUCAACGUGCGGAACCAAGAAUUCUCUGGAGCAGUGGAAAUGCCUAAUUUGAUGUUUGCGGCUGACUACAACGUCGACGCUAAGUUCAUGCAGCUGUCCAUGAAAGGGAAAGGAGCUGUGAGCGGCAACGCGACUGGCGUCCAUGGAGAUUUUACGCUCAGAGGAAAGCUUGUGAAACGCAAGAACGGCAACUAUUUGCAGUUCAAUAAACUGAACCUUAACUUCAAUGUGGAUCGUUCGCAUUCGCACAUGGAAGGUCUCGUGUCUGGCGACCUAGUGAUAGGUGAUGAUACCUAUGACCAAGGCGACAAUGGUAUGAACAUCUGGCCGCUGGCUAAACCUGUCAUCGAGAGAUCAAUUGCAGAAGUACUUCUUGAAAUGGCCAACAGGAUUGUGUCACAUGUCUCCUACGACGAAAUGUUCCCCUAAUAAAAGAAACGACGGUCGCAUUUAGUUUUUCUUGCCGUUUAUGUCUUUCAAUAAAAAUUUAUGUCCUACAGAAAUGGAACACUUUCACACUACUUCCGAAUGAGAUUCGAGUUCCUCAAUGACGGACGCAAGGACGAAAAGUAAGCUUUGGCAGUCAACGUGGUGGGCUUUACGAAUGACCUCCCGUAUGUAACAAAGAAAUUUUUAUACGAUUAGCUAAUAGCAUUCAGCGAAAUGAACAAAAGAAAAGAAAACUCUCUUUGUGAACUUAUAAAUACUUCUAAAAAGUCCACCGACGAAAAGUGUAAAAUGUACAUAACUUGACACCGUAAUAAAGAAGGAAUUCUGUAUGUUA